rnacentral:rRNA from 13 species
AUAACGGUCCUAAGGUAGCGAAAUUCCUUGUCGGGUAAGUUCCGACCUGCACGAAUGGCGUAACGACUUCCCCACUGUCUCCAGGAUAUGCUCAGCGAAAUUGAAUUCUCCGUGAAGAUGCGGAGUACCCGCGGUUAGACGGAAAGACCCCGUGCACCUUUACUGCAGCUUUAGAGUGGCAUUAGGAAAGAACUGUGUAGAAUAGGUGGGAGGCUUUGAAACUUGGGCGCCAGUCCGAGUGGAGCCAACCUGUGAAAUACCACCCUGUUGUUUUCUGAUGUCUAACCUGCAACCAU